rnacentral:rRNA from 1 species
GACGAACGCUGGCGGCGUGCUUAACACAUGCAAGUCGAACGGAAAGGCCCUGCUUUUGUGGGGUGCUCGAGUGGCGAACGGGCGAGUAACACGUGAGUAACCUGCCCUUGACUUUGGGAUAACUUCAGGAAACUGGGGCUAAUACCGGAUAGGAGCUCCUGCUGCAUGGUGGGGGUUGGAAAGUUUCGGCGGUUGGGGAUGGACUCGCGGUCUAUCAGCUUGUUGGUGGGGUAGUGGCUUACCAAGGCUUUGACGGGUAGCCGGCUUGAGAGGGUGACCGGCCACAUUGGGACUGAGAUAGGGCCCAGACUCCUACGGGAGGCAGCAGUGGGGAAUAUUGCACAAUGGGCGGAAGCCUGAUGCAGCAACGCCGCGUGCGGGAUGACGGCCUUCGGGUUGUAAACCGCUUUCGCCUGUGACGAAGCGUGAGUGACGGUAAUGGGUAAAGAAGCACCGGCUAACUACGUG